rfam:Triticum aestivum genome assembly, contig: Triticum_aestivum_CS42_TGACv1_scaffold_485183_6AS
UAAGUACUCCCUCCGUUCCGAAUUACUUGUCGCAGAUAUUGAUGUAUAUAGAUGUAUUUUAGUUCUAGAUACAUCCAUUUCUGCGACAAAUAAUUUGGAACGGAGGGAGUAGUAA